rnacentral:tRNA from 1 species
GUGCCCAUAGUUCAGUUGGUUAGAACGUCGGAUUGUGGUUCCGAAGGUCAAGGGUUCGAAUCCCCUUGGGCACC